GUUCGAUCUACGUAUUUUAAAAAAUUGCUUGACAAUCGGUAGCUACUGAAAGACCUAUAUCAUUGGAAAUUUCGCGAAUUCCGUAACUCGGAGAUUUUUCCAUAAGCACUGAUUCAUACUGGACAAACAUUGAAGUUGCCUAGUUCUUCGCGAUACGGUUCAACUUUCAACUACCAUCCCUUCGUUAUGCUGAAAAAUUCGUAUAAGGCUUUCAAUCAGUCAUCACUGUGCCUAGUUCAUCGCAGUACUUAUUCAACUUCCAACCACGAAGGGCAGGCGUUGCAUGGCAUUGCACAAUUCGUUUACAGAUCCAUCUCUACCGGAACGGGAUGGAGAGGAGUGGAUCUUUGGAGAGACUCGUUGAUGUCCUGA
rnacentral:misc_RNA from 1 species